GCAGAAGUGAUGGCGUGUGACUCCAAGGCUUGGUCAUAAAGGACACUGCGACUUCUCCCUCCCUCGCUCUUUCUUGGAUCACUCACUUUGCAUGAGUCCAGCCAGCAUAUGUGAGGAGACUCAGGAGGCCCUGACAAUCACAGACACACACAACAGACUCAGGAUAAAAUACAUGGGGGCCUGUGUCGCCUGGAGCCUGGCACUGGGAGCUGUGUCUGAGCACAGUUUCGCUGCCAACUGGGAGACGCCUGUGCUUCCAGAGCAGGGAGGAUUUCAGGGUACCAGGGAUCAAACUCAGGACCUUGGCUUGCAAGGCAGGUGCGGCGCCACUGAGCUAAAUCCCCAGACCUGAGUUGGACCUUUUUGAAAGGCAGGGUUACGGAAAGGCUGCCAGCAACAACAGCAGCAGCGUACUUCUUUGUUCCUAUCCAUGGAGGUAGACUAUACAUCCUUCCUUCCUGUCUGAUUAGGUCACUGUCAGCUAUGUCCCUAUCCCUGGGGCAUCCAGUCUCUCAGAGAACUUACAUCUUUGAUGCAAUCAUUGGCAAGAAGGAUGGGAUGGCAGUGAGUGUCGAAG
ensembl:lncRNA